rnacentral:lncRNA from 1 species
GUGAAGGCCACAAAUAAAAGCAGAUGUGUCUGCAAUACACCUUGCCUUCUGCCUGGAUAUUCUUUGUCCAAACUCGGUAACUUGGCACAAUCUCAGUGUGCCAUUUAUAAGCAAUUGCUGGCAACAGGGAAAGGCAGACAUCCGGGGGGUGGGGGAGCAGGAUGAUGGGUAAGGGCCCAAGAAACUCACUGCUGGCCCUGUCCACAGGCCUUUGUUUGAAAGAUGCAAUUUCUCUAAUCAGUGUUUGCUGAAAGAGAACUCUGUUUAUCAUCUGCCUUGGUAAGAUUAAGGCCCUUUUGAGAAGUAAGCAGGAAGGAAUUUUAAUUUGCUUCCUCUUCACUCUUUCAAUUUGUUUUCUGCAGGAAAAUCUAGUGAGUUGAUUUUGAAAAAGACUUAUGCAGUUGUGGUUCUCUGGGUUGUAACAUAUUUUCUCCUCUAUAUGGUUUGUAAUUUGGGACUGCUGUCUUUUUUUUCCCUGUCCUUCUUUUUCGCCUUCUUUCCUUCUUUUCUUCCCUCCACCCCACCCCCUUCUUUUCUCUUUAAACAAGGACUAUCUUUAACAUGCCUAUCAAAAGACACAAGAUACAGUUCUCAGCUGAGCAUCUUGCUGCGUUGUCUGUUAACCCCAGUCUUACCCAUAGACUUUGCACAGAGGCAGGGUCCCCCACAGCAGAGCUGGACUGUGAUGCUGCCCUUGGCCCAGCCAAAGUCACAGAAAUCAUUCAUCCACGGAUUGGGGUGUUUUCCAGGAGGAGCUGGGCUUGGAAAACAGCUCCUUGGAUCAGAGAGACCUGGGUUUGAAUCCUCAUGAAGCCACUCUCUGACAGUGGGACUAUGGAAAUCUCAUCUGAAAGUGGAAGCCACAGUACUGUAGAAAGGUAAGUUAUGCUAAGAAGCAUUGUGUGGAAGCCCUUGGCACCACCAUCGAUGCACCGGAACCCAAGGGGGCUGUGAGUGCCUGGCCUCAGAGAGCUGGGUCAAAGUGCAUAAAACUCUCAGGGGGCUGGGCCCAAGGAGACCCCUGCCCUCUCCCACUCCCUGUUGCCAUCCCAGGGAAGUCCAUCUCACAUGUACAUCAGCAUGCACGACUAUGUGCAUACCCAACAUAUACACACCUAGGGCUGGAGAGCUGUGG